rnacentral:rRNA from 1 species
CAGCUCGUGUCGUGAGAUGUUCGGUUAAGUCCGCUAACGAGCGCAACCCUCGCUGUGUGUUAUAUGUGUCACACGGGACUGCCGGUCUUAAGCCGGAGGAAGGUGGGGAUGAUGUCAAGUCAGCAUGGCCUUUAUAUCCUGGGCUACACACACGCUACAAUGGCCAACACAAUAGGUUGCUAAGCCGCGAGGUGGCGCCAAUACCAUAAAGUUGGUCUCAGUCCAGAUUGUAGGCUGCAACCCGCCUGCAUGAAGAUGGAGUUGCUAGUAACCGCAGGUCAGCUAUACUGCGGUGAAUACGUUCCCGGGGCUU